rnacentral:rRNA from 1 species
AUUGAACGCUGGCGGCAGGCUUAACACAUGCAAGUCGAGCGGAGAUGAGGUGCUUGCACCUUAUCUUAGCGGCGGACGGGUGAGUAAUGCUUAGGAAUCUGCCUAUUAGUGGGGGACAACAUUCCGAAAGGAAUGCUAAUACCGCAUACGUCCUACGGGAGAAAGCAGGGGAUCUUCGGACCUUGCGCUAAUAGAUGAGCCUCAGUCGGAUUAGCUAGUUGGUGGGGUAAAGGACUACCAAGGCGACGAUCUGUAGCGGGUCUGAGAGGAUGAUCCGCCACACUGGGACUGAGAAACGGCCCAGACUCCUACGGGAGCCAGCAGUGGGGAAUAUUGGACAAUGGGGGAAACCCUGAUCCAGCCAUGCCGCGUGUGUGAAGAAGGCCUUAUGGUUGUAAAGCACUUUAAGCGAGGAGGAGGCUACUGAGACUAAUACUCUUGGAUAGUGGACGUUACUCGCAGAAUAAGCACCGGCUAACUCUGUGCCAGCCGCCGCAGUAA